rnacentral:rRNA from 1 species
GACAGAGGGUGCAAACGUUGUUCGGAAUUACUGGGCGUAAAGCGCGUGUAGGCUGCUUGGAAAGUCGGAUGUGAAAGCCCUGGGCUCAACCUAGGAAGUGCAUUCGAAACUUCUGAGCUGGAGUGCUGGAGAGGAAGGCGGAAUUCUCGGUGUAGAGGUGAAAUUCGUAGAUAUCGAGAGGAACACCGGUGGCGAAGGCGGCCUUCUGGACAGUAACUGACGCUGAGACGAGAAAGCGUGGGGAGCAAACAGG